UCCCCACAGGGCUGAGGAGGGUACAGACAGGAAGCCCGGGACCCAGCGCCUGACCAGAACUUCCUCGGGGGAGGCUGGAGGAGCCCGCAGGCUGCAGAGAGCUCCCCGGAGCGUGCAGGCCAGAGCAGCCUGCAGCUCUCAGCCAGGGCUGGACAGGGGCCGCCCCCUCCUCCCCGUUGGCACUGGCGCGGGUCUAGGCUCCGUGGGCAUCUGGAGGGAGCUGGAGGCUUGCCCCGGGGAGAUGCUGACACUGCAGGGAUGGAACCUUCCAUUCUGGCCCAGCCUCUUCCUCCCUGGCUGCCACGAGGAGGGAAUUGAGAAGGGACUUUCCAGCGAGCGUUAGCGUGCAGGGUGUGGAAAUGGAAUAAAAGCAUAUGCAAAUAGGCCUCCGGGUGCCUUCCUCUACCCUUGUGAGCAAGAGCCUUUCACCAGAAAGAUGCUCUUCCUCCAAGACCCUAGGCAGCGCUCUCCUCUCCCAGGAUGGCAGCAGCAGGGCCGACUGGAGUGGGCCAGGCCAGGCCAAGCCUGGACUGCGGGAAGGAAGGCUUUGUGCCAUCUCUGGACAGCCUGUGUGUAUCCUCAGCUUUGAGAACUGAAUUCCAUGGGUUGUGUCAGUGUCAGACCUGUGAAAUUCAGUUCUUCAGCUGGGAUAUCUCUGUCAUCGUGGGACGAUCCUGCUUAGCUUGUGCAGCCUGCCGAGGAGCUUGGAGGACUGGGGACAGGAGGGUCAGCCUAAGGCCACGCAGGCCCAGGAGUGCGGUGGUUGGAGGAGCUCCCUGUGGCUGGGAGGAGCCUUGGGUUGGCUGCUGCACAGUCUCCCUAGCUCAGCAGGUGGGCUCAGCAAGUCGCUCUUGCUGCUGUGACUCAUUUCCAUUUAUUGAUUACUGAGGAUGAUUCAGGUGCGGGACUAAGUGCUGUACAUGCUGUUAUAGGAGACUCUUGGGAAAAAUCACUUUAAUGAAGCCUGCGACGCACAGGGUUGCCAUGCGAUGAUUUUUCCAAGAGAAAAAUGGAAUUGUUAGUAUGUGACAGUUAUCCUUUAGGAUGGCCCGCUACAGUGUCUAGUUCCUUCUUAAGAUACAUGGUGAAAAAAGAUGAGAAAUGUGGGUAUGCCCUUCUUACGGUCUCCCUUCCCUUUAUUUGAAUCUACACUUCUUUGACUUCUAUAAAUACACCAGGGCUACACUGUCCCAGUGUAUUCCAAACAGGGCAAAAAGAGGUUGUGCCUCGCCAUUACCACCUUCCCUAGUCUCCCAGGGAGGGCCACACGGAGGUUAUGAAAGUCCCCUGUGUUUGUUCCUGGUCAGCUGAGUGCAGUAGAUCCAGUUUUUCUGUUCCCUCCAUCAUCAAGUAUUCUGGGUCUGCUCUGAGCCUCAGGCUUGUUUCGAUGUUGACAAUUUCCACUUCUAGGCAGAGGGCUGGGAGUUUGUGAGCGAUAUCUAGAUUUUAGUAGCCUUUAGAUUUGAUGGGGAAUAAAGACUGUGAUUUGC